GCCCGAGUGGCGGAAUGGUAGACGCAGGGGAUUCAAAAUCCCCCGGUGGCAACACCUUGUCGGUUCGAGUCCGACCUCGGGUACCA
rnacentral:tRNA from 3 species